GCAAGUCGAGCGAGAACGUCGACUUCGGUCGAUUAGUAAAGCGGCGGACGGGUGAGUAACACGUGGAUAACCUGCCUUGGAGUGGGGGAUAACCUGGGGAAACUCGGGCUAAUACCGCAUACGUGCUGAGCAUUGUGAUGCUGAGAGGAAGGCUGGCCAAUUCUUGAGAGCCAGCGCUCUUGGAGGAGUCCGCGCCCGAUUAGCUAGUUGGUGGGGUAACGGCCCACCAAGGCUGCGAUCGGUAGCCGGCCUGAGAGGGCGAUC
rnacentral:rRNA from 1 species